UACGGAGGGUGCAAGCGUUAUCCGGAUUCACUGGGUUUAAAGGGUGCGUAGGUGGGUUUGUAAGUCAGUGGUGAAAUCUCCAAGCUUAACUUGGAAACUGCCGUUGAUACUAUAAAUCUUGAAUGUUGUGGAGGUGAGCGGAAUAUGUCAUGUAGCGGUGAAAUGCUUAGAUAUGACAUAGAACACCAAAUUGCGAAGGCAGCUCACUACACAAAGAUUGACACUGAGGCACGAAAGCGUGGGGAGUCAAACAGGAAUUAGAUUACCC
rnacentral:rRNA from 1 species